AGCAGCAGCCACGGGAACACGAAGGGUGCAAGCGUUACUCGGAAUUACUGGGCGUAAAGCGUGCGUAGGUGGUGGUUUAAGUCCGUUGUGAAAGCCCUGGGCUCAACCUGGGAAUUGCAGUGGAUACUGGGUCACUAGAGUGUGGUAGAGGAUAGUGGAAUUUCCGGUGUAGCAGUGAAAUGCGUAGAGAUCGGAAGGAACAUCUGUGGCGAAGGCGACUAUCUGGGCCAACACUGACACUGAGGCACGAAAGCGUGGGGAGCAAACAGGAUUAGAUACCCCUGUAGUCCCUGUCUCUUAUAC
rnacentral:rRNA from 1 species